ACGGAAUGUGCGCAUGCAUGUGAUCGAGAAGCGAUAAUGUUCGUAUUUGACCUCAGCUCAGUCGUGAUUACCCGCUGAAUUUAAGCAUAUAAUUAAGCGGAGGAAA
rnacentral:rRNA from 1 species